AGAAUUUCUCACACAGUUCAUCUCUCGUAUCUUGCUCUCGCAUGUGAAAAUGCGAAAAUGGCAUACUCUAGCAAUAACAAAACAAACAACCCCCGCUCGACAAACCGUAAUCCUCUUCCUAUUGAAGUAAUGAUGUUGCUUCACUUGUAUAUAUAAUCAUGGGCUAGAUCUAAUUCAAAACUAACGUGGUUCCGAAGUAUACAUCAUCCAGUGCAGGGGAGAAAAAAAAUAAUGGUUGCAGUUUACCACACAAUUCAUCCUUCUACUCGGGAGCUGGUAAAGCUGCUAUAUUAUCCUAAAAUAUUGGAAAGCUCGUAAAGGAUUGCAAUCAAAUCCUGCGGGACAAAUUCGACAAACAUCCUGCUCGCAGCAAGGUUCCUAGCGGACUCAAGCUAGUUUUUUCAGCAACAGAUCGACACCCUAUGGAACGUAUUUGAUUGUUGAAUCACAAUUGAGAAAUUUCCACAAGCUUAAAGUUUUUCUAGGAUGUAAAAUGAACAAGUAGCACUGAAUACAUUCGUGAUCAUGAUAUUAGCAUAUAGACAUAUUAAAACAAAAAUAAAUAAGGUGAUAAUGGAAGCAAAUGUAAUGACUUUAUGAAUGCAUGGCAGGAAGGG